rnacentral:rRNA from 1 species
UGCGUAGGCGGUUUGUUAAGUCUGUUGUGAAAUCCCCGGGCUCAACCUGGGAACUGCACUUGUGACUGCACGGCUGGAGUGCGCCAGAGGGGGUGGAAUUCCACGUGUAGCAGUGAAAUGCGUAGAUAUGUGGAGGAACACCGAUGGCGAAGGCAGCCCCCUGGGGUGACACUGACGCUCAUGCACGAAAGCGUGGUAGCGAACA